UUUAUAUUUAAGUUUGCUUUUUCUUGUUGUUUAUAGUAUUUGCCAGUUUGGCUGACAUAUGUAUCAGCUUGAUCGUAAUCGUUAUCGUUAUCGUAAUCGUUAUCGGUAUCGGUAUCUGUAUCGUCUCUAUCCACAUGCUUUUCCUUAGGUGACACUUUUCAUUCGAUAUACUUGGUAUAUGCGAGCCAUACGUGUUAUCGGUUAUCGAUUCAUUCUAUAUAUAUCGUUUUAUCAAAUUU